GGCGUUAGCGGCGGACGGGUGAGUAACACGUGGGUAACCUACCUAUAAGACUGGGACAACUUCGGGAAACCGGAGCUAAUACCGGAUAAUAUGUUGAACCGCAUGGUUCAAUAGUGAAAGAUGGUUUUGCUAUCACUUAUAGAUGGACCCGCGCCGUAUUAGCUAGUUGGUGAGGUAACGGCUCACCAAGGCAACGAUACGUAGCCGACCUGAGAGGGUGAUCGGCCACACUGGAACUGAGACACGGUCCAGACUCCUACGGGAGGCAGCAGUAGGGAAUCUUCCGCAAUGGGCGAAAGCCUGACGGAGCAACGCCGCGUGAGUGAUGAAGGUCUUAGGAUCGUAAAACUCUGUUAUUAGGGAAGAACAAACGUGUAAGUAACUGUGCACGUCUUGACGGUACCUAAUCAGAAAGCCACGGCUAACUACGUGCCAGCAGCCGCGGUAAUACGUAGGUGGCAAGCGUUAUCCGGAAUUAUUGGGCGUAAAGCGCGCGUAGGCGGUUUUUUAAGUCUGAUGUGAAAGCCCACGGCUCAACCGUGGAGGGUCAUUGGAAACUGGAAAACUUGAGUGCAGAAGAGGAAAGUGGAAUUCCAUGUGUAGCGGUGAAAUGCGCAGAGAUAUGGAGGAACACCAGUGGCGAAGGCGACUUUCUGGUCUGUAACUGACGCUGAUGUGCGAAAGCGUGGGGAUCAAACAGGAUUAGAUACCCUGGUAGUCCACGCCGUAAACGAUGAGUGCUAAGUGUUAGGGGGUUUCCGCCCCUUAGUGCUGCAGCUAACGCAUUAAGCACUCCGCCUGGGGAGUACGACCGCAAGGU
rnacentral:rRNA from 1 species